rnacentral:rRNA from 1 species
CAGUCGCCGCGUUAUACGUAGGGUGCAAGCGUUAAUCGGAAUUACUGGGCGUAAAGCGUGCGCAGGCGGUUAUAUAAGACAGAUGUGAAAUCCCCGGGCUCAACCUGGGAACUGCAUUUGUGACUGUAUAGCUAGAGUACGGCAGAGGGGGAUGGAAUUCCGCGUGUAGCAGUGAAAUGCGUAGAUAUGCGGAGGAACACCGAUGGCGAAGGCAAUCCCCUGGGCCUGUACUGACGCUCAUGCACGAAAGCGUGGGGAGCAAACAGGAUUAGAUACCCCCGUAGUCCCUGUCUCUUAUACC